GGGAAACAACCCAGACCGCCAGCUAAGGUCCCAAAGUCAUGGUUAAGUGGGAAACGAUGUGGGAAGGCCCAGACAGCCAGGAUGUUGGCUUAGAAGCAGCCAUCAUUUAAAGAAAGCGUAAUAGCUCACUGGUCGAGUCGGCCUGCGCGGAAGAUGUAACGGGGCUAAACCAUGCACCGAAGCUGCGGCAGCGACACUGUGUGUUGUUGGGUAGGGGAGCGUUCUGUAAGCCUGUGAAGGUGUGUCGUGAGGCAUGCUGGAGGUAUCAGAAGUGCGAAUGCUGACAUAAGUAACGAUAAAGCGGGUGAAAAGCCCGCUCGCCGGAAGACCAAGGGUUCCUGUCCAACGUUAAUCGGGGCAGGGUGAGUCGACCCCUAAGGCGAGGCCGAAAGGCGUAGUCGAUGGGAAACGGGUUAAUAUUCCCGUACUUGGUGUUACUGCGAAGGGGGGACGGAGAAGGCUAUGUUGGCCGGGCGACGGUUGUCCCGGUUUAAGCGUGUAGGUGUGUGUUCCAGGUAAAUCCGGUUCACUUUAACACUGAGGCGUGACGACGAGGCACUACGGUGCUGAAGCAACAAAUGCCCUGCUUCCAGGAAAAGCCUCUAAGCAUCAGGUAACAUCAAAUCGUACCCCAAACCGACACAGGUGGUCAGGUAGAGAAUACCAAGGCGCUUGAGAGAACUCGGGUGAAGGAACUAGGCAAAAUGGUGCCGUAACUUCGGGAGAAGGCACGCUGACACGUAGGUGAAGUGAUUUACUCAUGGAGCUGAAGUCAGUCGAAGAUACCAGCUGGCUGCAACUGUUUAUUAAAAACACAGCACUGUGCAAACACGAAAGUGGACGUAUACGGUGUGACGCCUGCCCGGUGCCGGAAGGUUAAUUGAUGGGGUCAGCGCAAGCGAAGCUCCUGAUCGAAGCCCCGGUAAACGGCGGCCGUAACUAUAACGGUCCUAAGGUAGCGAAAUUCCUUGUCGGGUAAGUUCCGACCUGCACGAAUGGCGUAAUGAUGGCCAGGCUGUCUCCACCCGAGACUCAGUGAAAUUGAACUCGCUGUGAAGAUGCAGUGUACCCGCGGCAAGACGGAAAGACCCCGUGAACCUUUACUAUAGCUUGACACUGAACAUUGAGCCUUGAUGUGUAGGAUAGGUGGGAGGCUUUGAAGUGUGGACGCCAGUCUGCAUGGAGCCGACCUUGAAAUACCACCCUUUAAUGUUUGAUGUUCUAACGUGGACCCGUUACCCGGGUUGCGGACAGUGUCUGGUGGGUAGUUUGACUGGGGCGGUCUCCUCC
rnacentral:rRNA from 1 species